rnacentral:rRNA from 1 species
UACGUAGGGGGCUAGCGUUGUCCGGAAUUAUUGGGCGUAAAGAGCUCGUAGGCGGCUUGUCACGUCGGGUGUGAAAGACCGGGGCUUAACCCCGGUUCUGCAUUCGAUACGGGCUGGCUAGAGUGUGGUAGGGGAGAUCGGAAUUCCUGGUGUAGCGGUGAAAUGCGCAGAUAUCAGGAGGAACACCGGUGGCGAAGGCGGAUCUCUGGGCCAUUACUGACGCUGAGGAGCGAAAGCGUGGGGAGCGAACAGG